rnacentral:rRNA from 1 species
UACGUAGGGGGCGAGCGUUGUCCGGAUUUAUUGGGCGUAAAGAGCGUGUAGGCGGCCAAACAGGUCAGCUGUGAAAACUCGAGGCUCAACCUCGAGACGUCGGUUGAAACCGUUUGGCUAGAGUCCGGAAGAGGAGAGUGGAAUUCCCGGUGUAGCGGUGAAAUGCGCAGAUAUCAGGAGGAACACCGAUGGCGAAGGCAGGUCUCUGGGCUGUAACUGACGCUGAGGAGCGAAAGCAUGGGGAGCGAACAGG